AUGCAGGAAACGUUUCCCAUCUUUAUCCUGAUUGCAUCUGAACUGUUGGAUUUAUCUGGUGCCUCCAGAGACGAGCCCCACAUCAGUGGAGCACCAGGCCUGGGCUCUGCUGGAGGAGCCCAGCUGAGAGCCGAGAGCAGCCCGGUGCCCAGCGAGGAGCAACCCGUUACAGGAGCUGACUCGGAGGAGGUGACCUUCCACUUCCAGACUGCAGCAGUUGAUCCUACCAGUGAAAUGACAGCUGACCUCAUUACUGUCCACACAGAGAGAGCUCCAAGAGCAACAGCCACGCUGCCUAAGGAGGUGGUUAGAAACUUGGAGGGGUCUGAUCGACUACCUGCUGUAAAACUCCAGGAUGGAGACGCAUUUCCUAACAAUCUCCUGAGUAAUGUAAGUGUCCCCUCCUCUGCACAAGGAUCACAGGCUACCACCCAUCCAGAGCAGUCAGAGAGGUCAGUGCCAGGCAGAGCUCAAACUGUCCCUGAGGCUGCUCUCAGCCCGACCAGCAGUGCUGGGCUGCCCCAGCCCACUCCCACUGUGGGGGUGCACCAAGACUCUCAGGGGGUUGCAGACGUCUCUCCCAUUCCUGUUCUCAAGCAGACGGAGGUGCCAAGUCCUAAAAUUUCUCUUCUGACUUCAACGGUAAAUUUCCAUCCUCCAAGAAAAGAAACAGCAGCAUAUCCGUUUCCCACCAGCGUUAAGAUGGCUCUUGUAAAUGCAGGGGUGGGCCAGUUACCAACACGAGCACCCCCCACUACAAAAAGGCCAAAGGAUGCAAGUCCCCAAGUCCAGCCUGACAGCAGAGCUGCUGUGGCACCUGCAUACGUCAAGAGUGUGGAUGCUCAACUUACUACUUCUGUAAUCGCACAAAAGCCAGCUUCGGUCGGCCUUGAUGCAGCCUAUUUCAGAGCCAUGAAGACAACUGCUGUUCGGUUUCCCCCUCUUUUAUCUCUUAACCAAGAACCAGCAGGCAGUGAAGACAGAAACUCAGUAACAGCUGUAAUAAAGGGCUCUAGACACACAACUGUGUUGCCUGCUCUUCAGCAGCUCCUGCAAGGCACUGGGCACUCUUCUUCAUUACCAAUGCAUCCUGAAGCUCUAGGUCAUGAUGAUUUGAUUCCACCUCCAUUUCAAGGGGCCAUUAAUGUAGCUGGUAGACCACAGCCUCUCCUCUUGUCCCGGACUCUCAACUGUACUAAGCACCAUGCUUCACAUGACACUAACAGGAGCACUCAGGAAAGCACAGUCCCAGUUUUACAAAGAGAUGCUGAUCACCAGAUGAUGACAAGUAAGCCUGAAAAAUCCACAUCCUCUGAGAGUCCCUGGGCUUCUUCUAAUUCACCUUCAUUAGGGCAGUCACAAAUCUCCACGGUAAACCUCUCCCAGACUACUAGAGAGCUAAAAAGAGCCACAUUUCCACUCCUUCCAAGUGCAUCUACCUUUGAGAAGGCAGCCCUUCCACCUUUAAGCACUCCUGCUGCUGUUCACGCAGCACUUCAGCCACGAGCUACAUCUGUUCCUCCUUAUGCUGGAUUGCAGCCGAUGGGUGUCCCCACCUCUGCUGCGAGAGGACUCCACGUACUGACUUCAACUGCUGGUUCUGGGUCUCAGGUUCAAGGCGUUUCAGCCCAUCCUGGACCUCAGGAAGCAUUUGCUGUGAUGCCACAGAUGAGCACGGUGGAAGAUUCCAAGGGACAGAAAAGUCUUCCACAUCAGAUAGAUAAGGCUGGAUCUCCACUGACUCCACAAGCCAGCGUGGUCUCCAGCCCCUCUGGACUGCAUGAGGAGAACCAGAAAGCUUCUCGUGACAGCUCUGCCCCUUCAGCCUCCCCGAUCCAGCAUGCUGGCAGCCUGGAAGCUUUUGUUGCCAGAUUGCACCCACCCCACGCACAGGAAAGCCAGUCCAGCACAACAACAGCACGUCCUGAGCCAGCAGUGCCUAUUGUUUCUGAGAUCCCAGCACAUCUGGCCCAAGCACUGCUGCAGCAAUUUGGUGCAUCGCAUGAUGCAGCUACCAAAAACCUCAGCAUUUUCAGAACUGAUCACCCCAAAAUGUUCCCAUCGUACCUAUAUUUGUCCUUUCUGCUUAAGAAUACUGAUGGCAUGAUAUGCCUGCUUCCCAUGCAGGAGUCCCCUUUGCCUGCAAGUUUCCCUAAUAUCAGUGUUGGGACUCUGGUUUCUGUUCAGCAAAUCCUGGCAGCAUCAAAUUCUUCGUUAGUAGAUCUUGCAAACUUGCAAAAUGGGAGUCCUUCUAGCUUAAUUCUGGUUAAGCCUGUUUUUAUCCUUUUUCCCACGGACAGAGCAGACUUACAGAUGGUGCCCUCUCCUCAGGGUGAAGAUGACCACAGAAGUGCCCUCUUACUCACAAACAAGCAAGGUCUGACCAUGGUUACCAAUGGACACAGCCGAGAUAUCCCAGAGAAAACUAGCUCCUCGUAUCCCACUAGUGAGUCUCUGAGACCUCAGACUACUCUCUCCACUGCUUCUGACCAGCGAGCAGAGAAAGCAAAAGUAACUUCUCAGCCAGUGCUGACUUCUGCGAGUUACGUGGCCAUCCCUAGUUCCUUUCAAGCCACUGCCCCAGCAGCAGAUCACUUUCUGGACCUGCAGCUGAGGACGAGCACAGCAGCACAGGCUGCUCACCUGCAGGAGCUGCCCGAGGGGCUGCAGGCAGCGCCUGCCCCUUCCCCAGGGGCUGAGGUGCCUUCCCCUGGUGGUGCGGCAACCAAGCCUCCUGCCUCCCCAGGGCCACCAGUACUGGUGCCUGCACAGCAUAGCCGUACAGCCCCCACAGGAUUUUUAAAAGCUGAAAAGCCUCUUUCUUCUUCUCUAACCCCUUUGCUGUCAGCAGUGGGGCUCACUGGUCUUCCAAGGCCAGCUCAGCCUCCUUUUACUGUCGCAGGGGCUGGGGAUCAGGGGCAGCGUGGUAUGGGACUGGCGCUACAGACCACCACCCGUGGCUGGGGCUCAGUGAGCCCAUCUUCCUCUGCCCGAGCGCAGUGCACAGAGUGUUUGAGCUCAGCUGGAACUGUAAAAUAUCCAUUAAAGAUGUCCCCAAGCAUUGUGCCUUUGCCGUCCACGUCACAAAGUCAGCCAAGCACCGAGUCGCUCCGAAGGCUGCCGUCACAAGUUCCAUUUGUACCCAGCACCGUGUCGGCUUUCUCAGCAUUUCUAGCUGGAAAUGAUGGCAGAAGCUCAGCAGCAGACAGCACUGCUUCUUCUGGAGUCACUUUGCAUGCUAAAGCAGCAUCAGUCCCCCACACCUCUAUAAAACCUGAUCUCACCACGCACUUGGAAUUUAUUACCAUCGUGCCCAAGCCCAUUGUCAGGAUGGAGACCCCAACACCAGUACCAGCACGUACCCUGCUGGCAGGGAAGGUCAAAACAGCAGCUUCUGGGAAACUGCUGGUGACCAGCACCCCCCAGAGGAUGUACAGCACGUCCCCCAUGAGCCUGCCCUCACCGGUGUCUGUGCGAGUUCCCCUGCCAUCCGCUGCGAAACGUGACCAAAGCAGUCAAGCACCUUCUGCAUUGUCCUCACCGGCCAAUGUGGGAGAAAAUGGGAAACCAACCGAAGGUAGCACAAGCCCAAGAAAACGGGGAUUCUUGGGAACCAGCACAUCCCUGCCGGCCGUGUUUAGCACAAAGGCAGAGCAGCCCCCCGCAGCAGCUCUCGGCAGCCAGGCUGGUGUAGCUCCAGCACAGCCGUCUGCGGCUGCAGAGCCUGUGAUUGCUCUCGAGAGCGAGCCUAAAUUAACACAGACCACCUCGCUGUCUCCAUUAGCGGUGACUUCUCUCUCUGCAGCUAAGAAUGAUUAUAUCACCACUUCAGUUACCCCAAAAAAAGUGUUUUUCCUGCCAACAUCAGCUCUCCAAUCUGACCCAAACGUGGUGUUUCCUACAAUGACUGUAAUGAACAGCUCAGCUAAGGUCCCUGCAUCAGGGGCAAAGAGUGAGGAUGUGCUUCUGGAAGGGGACACAGCCACUGCCAGCCAGGAGCUCAGCCAAGCAGCCACGUCCUCAGCACCUCAGGCACAGGAGGAGAUGGUGCCCAGGGGAGCCAGCAUGGAGCAGGACGCUCUCCACUCCAGCCAGCACGCUGCUGGACAGCCCACGGGGCCACCUACAGCAAAAUCACUUUCUGUAGCUGCGAGUAAGGUUACCAGCGAGCCAGCUGCCUCAAAUAAAGCAGCUGAUGAUGAUGCUGAGACACUCCUAACCAGAGACCUGAGCCCCCUGCCUCCUACCACAGAGAGCCCCUCGCGCCCUGCGGGGGCCAUGGCAGCACGCACAGCGGUGAGCGAUCCCCAGCUGGGUGCCACGGGCACGGAAGCCAAGGAGGAUGCCGAGGAGGAGGCCGGACCACACUGGGUGACCCACAGAGCCCCCACAGGCUCAGAACCUGCCCUAACACCCCUGGGUUCGGAGCCCAGGGUGCUGCUGAGUGAAUCCCGGCAGAGGAGGGUUUUGCAGCAGGACGGUGCCGUUCUCAGCGGGAUUGCAGUUGUCAGCGACGAGGCCUGUGGCUCUGGCAACUACACGGUGCAGAUGAGCCUGCGCCCUGUGGCCGAAGCGAGCCCGGAGCUGCAGGGCUCAGCGCUUCCCCAGGACACCUUCCUGGCUUCCCUGGCCAUGCAGAGCAGCAGCAGCCAGCCCGUGCUGCGGGUCCGCUCCUGCUGCGUGACACCCUCCAGCAGCCCGGGGGGCCCCGGCGCCGUGUGCUGCCUCCUCCCCAGGCUGCUACCUGAAUGCAGACACAUCCAGCUGCUGCAGAGCAGCGAGCCCAGAGCUGCUAGCUUCACCAUCCAGCUGUUCCAGAUGCUGAAUCACUCGGUGGCUUAUUUGCACUGCGAGCUCAGUGUGUGUCUGCACGGCAAACCAGGCUGUGAACAGGUAUGUGGGCAGGGUCCGCCCUCACUGGCCUCAGGAUCUUUUGGAAACAUUUGGUGCUUCCAGCAAGUGCAGUCGAUGUAAAGUGCCUUGAAGGUAG
ensembl:lncRNA